UACAGAGGGUGCAAACGUUGUUCGGAAUUACUGGGCGUAAAGCGCGUGUAGGCGGCUCGAUAAGUCGGAUGUGAAAGCCCUGGGCUCAACCUAGGAAGUGCAUUCGAAACUGCUGAGCUUGAGUUCUGGAGAGGAAGGCGGAAUUCUCGGUGUAGAGGUGAAAUUCGUAGAUAUCGAGAGGCACCCCGGUGGCGAAGGCGGCCAACUGGCCGAAUACUGACGCUGAGACACGAAAGCGUGGGGAGCAAACAGG
rnacentral:rRNA from 1 species